AUUAUACAUAUGAAACAUUUUUGCUGCCUAAAAAGAAAUAAGCAUUUUGAAAUGUUCUGCCAGUUUUUCUUGUAAACAAUUUGCGAUACAUUGAAGUUCCAAAACUUCUGUUCUCGCAUAUUUUCAUAAAGAAUCUGCACCGAGGAUUGUGAGUAACAAUGUUGCGGUCCAACAAGCGGCUGAUAGUUUCCCGAAUAUACGACGGAUUUAAAAAAGAAUGAUAGUUUCUGCAACAUGCGAGCAAAACUUCCUAACUUUUGGAAGUCUGGAGGGUCAUAUCAUUAGUAUGCAUAGUUAACAAAUAGAAAUAUUUAGAUUGACAAUUACGUUCUCUGCUUCGUUGGAAUGCAGUUUCCGCCUAAAAUGUUACUGAAAUCCAGUUAAAAAUAAUUGUUUUAAAUAAAAAACGAAUAAAAAUAAAAA